rnacentral:rRNA from 1 species
CCUACGGGCGGCAGCAGUGGGGAAUAUUGGACAAUGGGGGGAACCCUGAUCCAGCCAUGCCGCGUGUGUGAAGAAGGCCCUCGGGUUGUAAAGCACUUUCAGUGAGGAAGAACGCCUGGUGGUUAAUACCCAUCAGGAAAGACAUCACUCACAGAAGAAGCACCGGCUAACUCCGUGCCAGCAGCCGCGGUAAUACGGAGGGUGCGAGCGUUAAUCGGAAUUACUGGGCGUAAAGCGCGCGUAGGUGGCUUGAUAAGCCGGUUGUGAAAGCCCCGGGCUCAACCUGGGAACGGCAUCUGGAACUGUCAAGCUAGAGUGCAGGAGAGGAAGGUAGAAUUCCCGGUGUAGCGGUGAAAUGCGUAGAGAUCGGGAGGAAUACCAGUGGCGAAGGCGGCCUUCUGGACUGACACUGACACUGAGGUGCGAAAGCGUGGGUAGCAAACAGGAUUAGAUACCCCGGUAGUC